rnacentral:snoRNA from 1 species
GUGCAAAUGAUGGGAAACUACUUUCGACUGAGCAGAGUGAUGCUUUCAAAGGAACCACUGAUGCAC